UUCAAUAUUAUAUAUGUAACACCCCUCGCCCUCAUCCAACGCCUGGACGGGAUUCGAGGUGCUACCUGACUUUACUAACACUUCCAUACUAAACAGUGCCAUGAAAUCUCAAAUAAUUAAAAACUUUUCUUUUCUCAUGCAAUCUGUCCUUUAUGCGAGCUUACGAGGCCCAAUACAUGCAUUCGGGAUGGUUCGGGACCCAACCGAGAACUCAUGAAAAACUUAGGAAAUCUCUUGUAUCAAGGCUCCACACGCCCGUGUAGGUAUAGAACACACGCUCGGGUGCUAAGAACACGCCCGUGUCCCGAACCCAUGUCCAAAACCUGGACAAAUACAAGGCUAUUUUCCAAGCCAUUUUGUCACACUCACAACACAUGCACGCAUACCUAUACAAUAGCAUACAACAUGGCAAAAUUAGGCACUUAAACCUUCCUAACAUGACAUGACCAUGGUAAUUUCACAUGCAACCAUUACAAUAAGUUUUUCUUUCAUCUUUACCAUAUUAAUGCUAUAGCUAUCAACAUGUCAUCAAACCUCAUGUCCAUCACAAAGCAUGAAUAAUCAUAUCCACAAACCAUUCAUGAAGCAUUAUUAACUAUUUACCAAUCACUUAAUCCUGCAUUAGUUAUUAGCUCAUCAAUGAAUCUCAAUUCAAUCUCUAGGCAUACAUGUUGUAAGCCACAUCACAAGAGAUAAUAACAUACAUGCAUAAGAAUAAUCAUAUGGCCCAUAACGAUAUUAGCCGACAUAGGCCAAUUUACAUGACUAAUACUACCUUAAUAACAAGCCAAUGCCUUUGGCUAAAUCAUAAUAUUACAUACUCACAUUAAAACCCUAUACAUGCCAUAGACUAGAAUCACUUGAGUUUACUUACGCCGAUAGCGUUAACUCGACAGUGUGAUAAUAUCUCUGACGGCCUUCAACCCGAGCUAACCUGGAAACUCUAGAAAACAUGGGAAAGAAGGGGGGGUAAGCUUUCACUUAGUAAGUUCAUAUGAAAACAAUAAGCAACUCAUUAACUUGUUUUAUCAAUGUUUACAACAUAUUCUCAAGUUCACUGCAAGCUGUCUUCCUAAGCAAUAGUCACUAAAUUAUUUAUAUCUGGAGCUACAAAACUCCAAAUUAAGUUCCGUUAAUUUUCCCUGAAACUAGACUCAUUUAUCUUUCUUUCAUAAAAUUUCCAGAAUUUUUAGUCAAGCCAUUUAGUACAGUUUAUUAGUUAAAGUCUCCCCUGUUUCAGGGUAUGACCACUCUGACCCUUGUGCACUACAAACCGAAUUUCUCCCUGUACAAAAUUCCAACGACGAUGCCAUUUUUUCCCUUAAAAAUAGACUCAAUAAGGAAUCCAUGCAUGUAAGGUAUGACUCUUAAUAAUUUUUUUACAAUUUAUGAUGAAUUUCUAAAGUUAGAACAGGGGAUCUCGAAUUCAUUUAGACCCUGUUUUACAAGAAUUCAAAUAUCACACAAUAUAGAAUUCUUUUUCUUCCUCUGUUUCUUUCAUGUAAAAAUAGACUCAUUAAGCUUUAAUCUCAUAUUUUAUUCUGCCUCUAACUAAUUUUCCACUAUUUUUAGUGUAUUUUCAAAGUUACAUUACUACAGUAACUCAAAUCUGUCAAGGCUAAGUUACUCAUUCAUGAUCAUUGUUCACAAAAUUAAUACAACAUCAUUUCAUCCAUCAUGGUAAGAACACAUAUUAUGCAUCAUAGAUCAUCACAUAUCAAGGCAUUCUCAUAGGCUUAAUAUACAUACUUGCACAACUCGUAACAUAACUCAAGUGUAUACUCACCAAUGACUUACCUCGUUGGGACCAUCAUCAACUCUUUCCUUGGAUUACCCGUUGAACACUUGGAAUACUAAUUGGAUACUCAGAAAAGCCUUUGCACAUAAGUGCCUCAAUUGUAGCUAAAGCUACCUCAUAUCUCAUGACAUUUCAAUGCUCACUCUCGAGCUAGUCAUCUAGACUCAUAAUUUCUAGUGACAUGUCACUCGUAUCCUAUUCUAUUUCUAAGGUUCAAACGAGAUUUUUCCUCGUCUAUUAAGGCUUUGUCUUAUCAUAUUUCUAUUAAUCACAUACACUUAAUAUCUGUACAAUUCAUGUAAUGAUAACAUUUAAAUACAUGUAUAGCAUGGUAUUGUUUACAUACAAACUUACCUCAAUACCACAAAGGUGAAAAGGACAUAAUCAUCCCUUAAUCGAUUUCUUUCUGUUCUAGGUCCAAAUCUCGAUUUUCUUGAUCUAUAAUAUCACAUUUAGCCUACCAAUCAGUCACAAUAUUCAUAUGGGUAUAAAAAUCAUAUUUUUACAAAUUUUUAUUUUGACCCCUAAACUUUUGCAUAUUUGCACUUUUGCCUCAAUGCUCGUAAAAUAAUUUUUAUCACAUUUCUUUACUCCUUGAGUCUAGAUGAACCAUUUUCAUAACUAUAGCAACUCAUAAUUUCAACUAUUUUACACAUUACAACUUAUUUUACAACUUAGCAAUCUAGCCCUUUUUUAAGAUGUUUUCAUGUAAUUUCUUUCACAAAAGUUGUUUAUUAGACAACUAGGACUCAUAAUCUUCCAUAAAAACACAGAAAACAACACAUUUACUCUCAUGGCAAAACCCUAGACUCUUCAUCAUUUUGCAAAAUAGUCCCCUCUUAUGAAAGCUCAUGCUUUAGGGGUUCCAAAAAUGUAAAAAUCAUCAAGCAAAGACAUUAAAAUCACUUACAAGCAAGUGAAAUAUGUUGCUGAAAUUUUCCAGCUUCAAAACCCUUUCUUUGCUGCAUAUUUCGGUGAAGGAGAAGAGAAAAAUGAUAGCUUUUUCUUUUUUAUUUGUUAACAAUAAAACUAGUCAAAAUUGGUGACCAAAUUUCACCUAAUUUUGACUUUUCAACAAUUUUGUCUCCCAUGGCCGGCCAUCACACUUUCAAUGGCCUAAUUUCACUUUAAAGACCCCCAAUUUAAGAUACAAGGCAAUUUAACACACCUUUAGGUAUUAAAACACAACUUUUACCUUUUACGCGAUUUAGUCCUUUUUCGGAAUUGGACUAGAAAUUGCUAAAAUUAACUUACCAAAAAUUACAUGCACUUAUAAAAUUAUAUUAUAACACAUAAAAUAAUACUAAAAUAAUUUUAUCUAGCCUCGAAAUAGUGGUCCCGAAACCACUGUUCCGACUAGGCCCAAAAUCGGGCUGUUACAA
rnacentral:lncRNA from 1 species